UACGAAGGGGGCUAGCGUUGCUCGGAAUCACUGGGCGUAAAGCGCACGUAGGCGGCUUUCUACGUCAGGGGUGAAAUCCUGGAGCUCAACUCCAGAACUGCCUUUGAUACUGGAGAGCUCGAGUCCGGGAGAGGUGAGUGGAACUCCGAGUGUAGAGGUGAAAUGCGUAGAUAUUCGGAAGAACACCAGUGGCGAAGGCGGCUCACUGGCCCGGUACUGACGCUGAUGUGCGAAAGCGUGGGGAGCAAACAGG
rnacentral:rRNA from 1 species